UCCUUCGGGAGUGGAUUAGCGGCGGACGGGUGAGUAACACGUGGGCAACCUGCCUUGUAGAGAGGAAUAGCCAUUCGAAAGGAUGAUUAAUACCUCAUAAUAUUGUAGUUUCGCAUGAAGCAACAAUCAAAGGAGCAAUCCACUACAAGAUGGGCCCGCGGCGCAUUAGCUAGUUGGUGAGGUAACGGCUCACCAAGGCGACGACGCGUAGCCGACCUGAGAGGGUGAUCGGCCACAUUGGGACUGAGACACGGCCCAGACUCC
rnacentral:rRNA from 1 species